AUGAUUGCGAAUGGUUACCUUUGGUGCUGGCUCUCGCGAGCAAGAGGCCAAAGGUUCACAAGGGUAGUAGUGGAUGAAAGCCACCAAUGUGCACUUGCUCGCUUCGGCUGGCAGAGGAUUUUUACACACACACUCGAAUGUAAUGAAAACGUUUGUCGUGCGCAAGCACUAAUGUA
rnacentral:misc_RNA from 1 species